CUCCCAAAAUCAAUACCAACCUUCCUUUUAUGGUCAUAAACAUUGUGUUUAAAUUUCAUUGAUUUCUAUUUACUUAAACUAAAGUUAUUGUGCGAAAACCAAGAAUAAUGCUUAUUUGGGCCCUUUUUUGGCCCCUAAUUCCUAAACUGUUGGAACCAAAACUCCCAAAAUCAAUCCCAACCUUUCUUUUGUGGUCAUAAACCUUGUGUCAAAAUUUCAUAGAUUUCUAUUAACUUAAACUAAAGUUAUA
rnacentral:lncRNA from 1 species